UACAGAGGUCCCGAGCGUUGUUCGGAUUCAUUGGGCGUAAAGCGUGCGUAGGCGGGCGUCUAAGUGUCUUGUGAAAUCCCACGGCUCAACCGUGGAACUGUUGGGCAUACUGGACGCCUUGAGGCACACAGGGGCGAGCGGAACAAGUGGUGGAGCGGUGAAAUGCGUAGAUAUCACUUGGAACGCCGACGGUGAAAACAGCUCGCUGGGUGUGUUCUGACGCUGAGGCACGAAAGCCAGGGGAGCGAACGGG
rnacentral:rRNA from 1 species